GCGCCUAGCUGACGCUGGACAUCCUCGCGCUAUGCAUGAGGACAUUCAGCAUCACCCGAAAUGCCGCACAUGCACAUUAGAUCUCGCCAUGCGGCCGGGGUUUUUGGCCCCUUGUGCACCACAGGGAGAGGGGGGGACCAUAGGGAGCUAUACUGCCAGGAAAACAACUUUAUUUUCGUGGCACUAUAGUUUUCCUUUAAUAAA